AACUGAGGUAGAGGCGCAGGCUUUAAAAGUAAAAUUGUUGAGGUAAGCACAAUGAAGCAGUUUGAAAGGAAAGGUUGCCGAAGCAUAUGAUUAACGCUUUAAAAUCAUAUUGCUGGGUUUGUAUAAAAUAUAUACAAAACUGUCACAAAUGGAAAUUGUGGAGAACUAUCAUUUUU
rnacentral:ncRNA from 2 species